rnacentral:rRNA from 1 species
AUUGAACGCUAGCGGGAUGCUUAACACAUGCAAGUCGAACGAGUGGCGGACUGGUGAGUAAUAUAUCGGAACGUGCCCAGUAGCGGGGGAUAACUACUCGAAAGCGUGGCUAAUACCGCAAAAUAUCGGAGCGGCCGCUAUCGGAUUAGCGAGUUGGGGGGGUAACGGCUAACGACGGAAACGAUCCGUAGCUGGUCUGAGAGGCCGGCCAUCCACACUGGGACUGAGACACGGCCCAGACUCCUACGGGAGGCAGCAGUGGGGAAGUUUGGACAAUGGGGGAAACCCUGAUCCAGCCAUCCCGCGUGUAUGAGAAGGCCUUCGGGUUGUAAAGUACUUUUGUCAGAGAAGCGGUAUCUGCAGAAUAAGCACCGGCUAACGACGUGCCAGCAGCCGCGGUAAUAC